GGUCCCCAUUCCAGAUGUUGAGGUCCUCGUCCAGAUGUUGGGGGUCAUCGCCCGGAUUUCACGGCCCCCAUCCAGAUGUUGGGGUCCCCACCUGGACCUUGGUGUCCCCACCCAGAUGUUGGGGGGGGGUCUCCUGCCGUAUUUCAAGGUCCCCAUUCCAGAUGUUGGGGCGCCCACCCUGGCCUUGGUGUCCCCAUCCAGAUGUUGGGGGUCUUCACCCGGAUUUCAAAGUCCCCAUUCCAGAUGUUGGGGUCCCCCCCAAACCAUGAGAUCCCCAUCCAGAUGUUGGGGUCCUCACCUGGAUUUCCAGGUCCCCAUCCAGAUGUUGAUGGCCCCACCCCGACCUCGGGCUCCCCCUUCCAGAUGUUGCCCCCCCACCCCACGCCGUGAUUGGCUGAUCUCUCUGAUUGACACCCGCACCAACCAAUCACCACCCUCGCCCCGCCCCCAAACCCGGAAAUGCCGCUCCAAAAAUCCCCCCCCCCCAAAAAAAAACCAAAAACAAACAAAACGGGAAUAUUUUGAGGGAAAACCUCGGGAUUUUGGGAUUUUUUCCUCCUUUUUUUUUUUUAUUUUAUUCCCCCUCCUCGGGCAGAACCUUCUGGGGCCUCCUCUGCAGCAGCUUCCGAGCGGGGGAUCCCUGAAGCCUCCGGAAUGCUCGGGAAGCUGGGGAAAAAAAAAAAAAAAAAGGGAAAAAUCCCCAAAAUUCCUCAUUUUUCCCACCAAAAUCCCCAGGAUUUUGGGCAAUUUUGGGCAAUUCUUGGGGGGGUUUUGCUCACCCAGCUGCUCCGAGAGGUCCCUGAGGAAGCUCCUGCUCUCCUCGUGGAAUUCCAGCACCAUUUUCCCGGCCUGCUGGGCCUCAUCCACCUGAAAAUCCCCAAAAAUUCCCCAAAAAAUUCCAUUAAAAAAACCCCAAAAUUCCAGGAAAUUCCAAAAAAUUCCCCAAAUCCGGGUUUUUCACCCCAAAAUCCUCACCAGGAGCUGCAGGGAGCGCAGGGCCGGGCCCUGCUGGGCCAGGAUCUCUCCGUAGUCGGGUUUGGAGGCCAAAAUUUGGGAAUUUUUGGGAAUCU
rnacentral:lncRNA from 1 species